ensembl:lncRNA
AUGCGCACUUACUGUGUACUUCCACACUUUUUUGCUGCUCUUCUCUUGUGUGAUUAUGGGAUGUUCUCCACACCAUCACCAUCUCCUUCAGGGAUCCCCACUAAUGCAAUAUCAACGAUAUCCGACUCUAACACUACUGUGACGACAGCUAAAUCCGUAACAGCCGGGAAUGGCUCGAGCACGUUAGAAUCUGGCUUAGGGAAAAAUCUGCCAAAUGAUUUAAAUGGUACGACUGAGAGCAGCAGAGACCAUUCUGUCACUGAAUCUCAAAGGGUUAAUGGAAGCACCAGCAGAGCGAUCGCUUCAACAGCAAGUCCAGAGAGCACCACACACAACGUGAAGCACCAUACUACUCAAGAAAAAAAAGUUUCAGAUUCAACAACGGUUACAGGAGGAUUGAAUACAGGAGAUAAAACAUCAAUAACAGGAGGUGUCAUCAUUUUGAUCAUCAUCCUGCUCCUGAUUUUUUCUCUGCUUGGCAUUUUGUACUAUCUGAGAAAGAAAGCAAGGAGUUACUCAUUUGAUCUGACUCACGUCGACGUAGCUGCCAAUGAUUACACUGACACCCCGCUCAGGAGCGACCAACAAGGCAUAAGCUAUGAACAAACUAACAAAGAUCUGCCUGUGUGUUCAGACUAUGUACAAGAGGACAAGACUACAGAGGAGAAGACUAAUCCCAUCGCAAAUGGGUCUUGUGGAGAGAAAACUGAACAAGCACCCACCAAUGACAACGAUUAUCAGAAUGUUCCAGAAGAGAACAGUUUCUCUUCAAACUCGAGCUUGAGUACACCCAUGAAGAACGAGGAUUUUAACCUGUACCUAAAUCUGCUUGGAGGUGAUUUAAACGAUUUGACCGAAGCUGAAGCCACCGAUACGACGCAAAAUGAAAACAACAAUAAUGUCAGUAAUGCUGAGCAGGGAGCAGCAGAAGAGAUCUUCACUGAAAUCAGUCUAGAUGAGCCAAACUAGCAUGCAUAGUGUGUGUUUCCAGUGCAGCGGUCAAGAUCUCGGGUGUCCGGUACCUAGAUCCAAACUAUAGACUAUAUGAGUGCAAAAGCAUCCUUCUGCCAUUCUCACUUUAAGUUCUGUUUCAUCUACUGCUAAAGGAGAUUGUAUACUGUACAUAAAAAAAGAACAUUGAAUCAUUGGUUGAAGUUUAUGUAAAAAUUUUAAUGCUUUAUAAAAUAAUUUGUGGCUAUAAUAAACAUUCGCUGUGUAAUGCAAUGCACUUGUGUGUGUUUGACUGACGCCUGAAGCUUCUUCAUUAACAUUCAUUUGAGAGUUUCACUAUAUAAUUUGUUCAGCUGAAGGUGAUGGGCACAAUGGGGAAAGACACAGAGAAAGAGCUUAAAUACUCCUGGUCUUCCUCAGUUUAGAGGGAAAAUGGCCUAUCACCAGAAGAUGUAUCUUCACUGGCCAAGUAGUGCUUAAUUUGCUUUAUACAGUAUUACCCAAUCACGUUGUACAUAGUUGUGGCAUCGAACAUAAAGACUGCUGUUAUCCUCAACCAGCCCCUAAAUGAACCAGCUACAGUAAUCAUAUAACCAGUGUUGGGGGUAAUGCAUUGCGAGUAUAGCAAGCUAUUAAAAUUAACUUUAAAAAUGACAUUUUCUUGUGAUUGAGAAGAAAGUGUUGAACUUCCUUGCCUUAUGUCUUAUUCUUCAUGCAAUCCAGAAACAAAAACAAGAAUUAUUCAACAAUUCUUCUACUAUGGCGAGUACCACGACACAUGCAUGUGCAUUAUUCGGCUCGUAAACAAGGCGCAGCGCAAGCAUCAUGCUAUUCUCGAUAAUGCCGGUGUCCUGACAUUUUAUCCUACCCCUCAGAUUUUCCUACUAGGGUAUACUGCGCAUUCACACAUCAAUAUUGCGUCCUUUUUCUUGCGCUGAACAACAAUAUUUAAUGUAUCUGCAUUACUGGAAGGGUAGGUUUAGGGUUGGGGUAGGUGUAGACUUUAAUAAAAACACAAUCUAAUCUAGAAAAAAUUAUUUAUUGUUGGUUUCCUGUAGCCGUAUCCCUUCUAGCUACAACCGGGAAUAUAACACAUAAUUAAUACUGUAGGUGUCGUGGUAGGUGUUGACGUUAAUAAACAACUUUACAGUAGCAUUUUUCGUUGUCGAAUUGUACUACCCACUGUUUUAAUGGGAGGUAGCAAAAUCUGACAAAAUCUGAAAUUCAUGAAACGUUUUAUUCAGAUCGUGACUUCGGAGCGCAGAUCGCGACUCACUUGAUUUAGAUACAAAUCCCUUAAGAAAAUGAACCAUGGUAAAGGUGGAAUAUUUUAUGGCCUGUUGUUCACCACUUGUAUAACCCCAGUUUAAUAAAUACCAUGGUUAAACUAUGGUUAGUGUAGUAAAACCAUGUUUAAUUUUCGUUCGAGUCCCUGCCUCUUAAUCACCGAUGCUAGGUGCACUUUUUGGUGAUUUCUACCGAGGAGGACCAAGCAGCAACAGGAAUCAAACACAGGAAACAAAAUGAGACACUGGUGAAGUUUACACACCCGAAAGACAGUUUGAAAGUGUGUCUCAUGUCAAGCUUUUUGAUACACUCUGUAAAAAGGUGACUUUUAUGUUGGCUUGUGUCCUAGUUGGUGAUGCCGCCCUGAGAACUGGAUUUAUUUUUAACUAGUUCUCCUGCACUCACCAGCAUGUGUCUUUCAUUCAUGUGCACCAGAACUUGAAGAACUGUUGUACCUGUGUGUAAAUGUCAAUGUAAUCUGCUGUGGAUUCCCCGCUGUGCAUGAGGGACAUUACAAAGGAUGUCUAAAUAUAGCUGAGGAAACUCCCCUGUCUGAAGCGGCCCACUGAACACAUGUUUAAGAGAGCGCUAGAACAGGACAGCUUUUCCUCUGAACAAACUACCGA